rnacentral:lncRNA from 1 species
CAGCCCAUGCUCACCUCUAAGCAGUUAAAAAUGGUGGGGUGUGCUGAGAGACAAGACUCAGCCGGCUACAGAAGGCAGGAUUUCUCCAGACCCUAGCAAGGGGCUGGCCCUCCUCCUUCAGGCCAACUUCAGCGACACCUGCCAGGUGUCCAAGCUGUCCCACCUCACUGUGAGAACGAGAGUGUGCACAUUCCCAAAUGAGGCUCAGCUUCUUCCCCAGUGCCCAAGUCCAACCGAUUAUAGCUCCUCCUCUGAGUCUCAGAUUCUGACUUGGGCUCACAUUGAGCUGGAAGCCAGCUGCCCAUGUCGG